rnacentral:antisense_RNA from 1 species
GGUGACAAAGGAAGAAACUGCGCAGAAGAAUUUUGUAUCACCAGCCAAAUUAAUAUUAAGCUGAUUUACAUAAAUGAAUAAAAAAUGGUGCGUCCGAGUGGACUCGAACCACCGACCCCCACCA